rnacentral:rRNA from 1 species
UACGUAGGGUGCGAGCGUUGUCCGGAAUUAUUGGGCGUAAAGGGCUCGUAGGCGGUCUGUCACGUCGGGAGUGAAAACUCAGGGCUUAACCCUGAGCCUGCUUCCGAUACGGGCUGACUAGAGGUAUGCAGGGUAGAACGGAAUUCCUGGUGUAGCGGUGAAAUGCGCAGAUAUCAGGAGGAACACCGGUGGCGAAGGCGGUUCUCUGGGCAUUACCUGACGCUGAGGAGCGAAAGUGUGGGGAGCGAACAGG